UGGGAGCGGCAGACGGGUGAGUAAUACGUUGGAACCUGCCCCAAAGUCAGGGAUAACCAGUAGAAAUAUUGGCUAAUACCGGAUAGUCACGAAAGUGUAAAGCUUUUGCGCUUUGGGAGGGGCCUGCGGUCUAUCAGCUUGUUGGUAAGGUAAUGGCUUACCAAUGCUAUGACGGAUAGCUGGCUUGAGAGAAUGAUCAGCCACAAUGGAACUGAGACACGGUCCAUACUCCUACGGGAGGCAGCAGUGAGGAAUCUUCCGCAAUGGGCGAAAGCCUGACGGAGCAACACCGCGUGAAGGAUGAAGGUCGUAAGAUUGUAAACUUCUUUUCUGAGGGAAGAAUUCUGACGGUACCUCAGGAAUAAGCAUCGGCUAACUACGUGCCAGCAGCCGCGGUAAGACGUAGGAUGCAAGCGUUAUCCGGAAUUAUUGGGCAUAAAGAGUUCGUAGGCGGUUUGUUAAGUUGGAUGUUAAAUUUUUGAGCUCAACUUAAAAAAAGUAUCCAAAACUGGCAAACUGGAGACUGGUAGAGGUAAGUGGAAUUCUGCAUGUAGGGGUAAUAUCCGUAGAUAUGCAGAGGAACACCAAAAGCGAAAGGCAGCUUACUGGAACAGUUCUGACGCUCAAGA
rnacentral:rRNA from 1 species